rnacentral:rRNA from 1 species
UACGUAGGGUGCGAGCGUUGCCCGGAUUUAUUGGGCGUAAAGGGCGCGUAGGCGGUCACGCACGUCCGUUGUGAAAUCGCUCGGCUCAACUGGGCGGGGGUCAGCGGGAUACGGCGUGGCUGGAGCAAGCUAGGGGGCAAUGGAAUUCCCGGUGUAGUGGUGGAAUGCGUAGAUAUCGGGGAGGAACACCAGUGGCGAAGGCGGUUGCCUGGAGCUUUGCUGACGCUGAUGCGCGAAAGCGUGGGGAGC